AUCGAACGCUGGCGGCAUGCUUUACACAUGCAAGUCGAACGGCAGCACGGACUUCGGUCUGGCGGCGAGUGGCGAACGGGUGAGUAAUGUAUCGGAACGUGACCAGACGGGGGGGCUAGCGCUGUGAAAAUAACGCUAAUACCGCAUACGAUCUAUGGGUGAUAGCGGGGGAUCGCCAGUGAUCGCGCGAUUGGAGCGGCCGAUAUCCGAUUAGGUAGUUGGUGGGGUAAAGGCCCACCAAGCCAACGAUCGGUAGCGGGUCUGGGAGGACGACCAGCCAGACUGGAACUGAGACACGGCCCAGACUCUUACGGGGGGCAGCAGUGGGGAAUUUUGGGCAAUGGACGAGAGUCUGAUCCAGCCAUGCCGCGUGCGGGAAGAAGGCCUUCGGGUUGGAGACCGCUGUUGGCAGGGAAGAAACGCUCUGGGUUAAUACCUCGGGGUAAUGACGGUACCUGAAGAAUAAGCACCGGCUAACUACGUGCCAGCCGCCGCAGUAA
rnacentral:rRNA from 1 species